UGAAUGAGUUAAAAAGCAAAAAGCCUUAUUUCUGAUAGGGAGAAAAUUUUGGUGGUCUGGAUAGACGAUCAAACCAGCCACAACAUUCUCUUAAGCCAAAG